GUGGGGAAUAUUGCACAAUGGGCGAAAGCCUGAUGCAGCGACGCCGCGUGAGCGAUGAAGUAUUUCGGUACGUAAAGCUCUAUCAGCAGGGAAGAUAAUGACGGUACCUGACUAAGAAGCACAGGCUAAAUACGUGCCAGCAGCCGCGGUAAUACGUAUGGUGCAAGCGUUAUCCGGAUUUACUGGGUGUAAAGGGAGCGUAGGCGGCGUGGUAAGUCAGAAGUGAAAGCCCGGGGCUCAACCCCGGGACUGCUUUUGAAACUAUCAUGCUAGAGUGUCGGAGAGGUAAGUGGAAUUCCUAGUGUAGCGGUGAAAUGCGUAGAUAUUAGGAGGAACACCAGUGGCGAAGGCGGCUUACUGGACGAUAACUGACGCUGAGGCUCGAAAGCGUGGGGAGCAAACAGGAUUAGAAACCCUGGUAGUCC
rnacentral:rRNA from 1 species